CCUACGGGAGGCUGCAGUGGGGAAUAUUGGACAAUGGGGGCAACCCUGAUCCAGCCAUGCCGCGUGUGUGAAGAAGGCCCUCGGGUUGUAAAGCACUUUCAGUGAGGAAGAACGCCUGGUGGUUAAUACCCAUCAGGAAAGACAUCACUCACAGAAGAAGCACCGGCUAACUCCGUGCCAGCAGCCGCGGUAAUACGGAGGGUGCGAGCGUUAAUCGGAAUUACUGGGCGUAAAGCGCGCGUAGGUGGCUUGAUAAGCCGGUUGUGAAAGCCCCGGGCUCAACCUGGGAACUGCAUCCAGAACUGUCAAGCUAGAGUGCAGGAGAGGAAGGUAGAAUUCCCGGUGUAGCGGUGAAAUGCGUAGAGAUCGGGAGGAAUACCAGUGGCGAAGGCGGCCUUCUGGACUGACACUGACACUGAGGUGCGAAAGCGUGGGUAGCAAACAGGAUUAGAUACCCCAGUAGUC
rnacentral:rRNA from 1 species